AUCCAGCUGAUGAGUCCCAAAUGGAACGAAACGUAAGUCCUCGAU
rfam:Schistosoma haematobium scaffold1107_4, whole genome shotgun sequence.